UAGGAAACAGCCCAGCCCAGUGAACUGGGCUCAAACUCAAGACUGGCUGAUUCAACAAGGCACCCCUGCAGACAAAGCUGGCAGAGUAGAAGUUUCAACUCCUUUCCAUGGGGACUGUCAGGAGCCCUAUGCCAUCAAUGACUCCAAGGUUCCCAGUCAAACCCAGGAGCACAAGCCAUCGACCCAAAAUUUGCUGCUUCAGAAGGAUGAGCUUGACAGACAAAAUCCCAAGCGCAUUAACGCAGUCUCCCAUUUGCCUUCGAGAACACCCCUGAUCCAGACAAAAAAGAGCACUUCCUCCAGCAGCAGUGAGUUUGAGGAUCUGAAUGCAUAUGCUUCCCAAAGAAAUUUUUACAAGAGAAACUUAAACCGCUACUGCCAGGAGCACUGGCCAUUCCAGCCAUGCCUCACUGGGAGGCCCUGAGCAUUCUAGCCGGCGGCUGCACAGCUGCUGGGGCAUCUCCAUGAGGAAGAGGGCGGUGGACAGGAGUCAUGAAGACUAAUUCGGAAACUCCCCUGAAGGAGGAGAAGACAUCUGAGCCAUCCUUGUGCCACCAAGCAAGAGUCACUCCAGCUCCUAAAAAGCCACCAUGGGAAGAGCUGCCUCCAAUUAAAGUUCUUGAUUGCA
rnacentral:lncRNA from 1 species